rnacentral:rRNA from 1 species
AGGGCUUCGGCCCUGGGGACAGCGGCGAACGGGUGAGUAACACGUGGGUAAUCAACCCCCGACACCGGGAUAGCCCGGGGAAACCCGGAUUAAUACCGGAUGCCCCAUCUGGCUUUCGAGCCGGCUGGAAAAGGGUAGCUUCGGCCUCCGGUCGGGGACGAGCCCGCGGCGGAUUAGCUUGUUGGUGAGGUAAUGGCUCACCAAGGCGACGAUCCGUAGCUGGUCUGAGAGGACGAUCAGCCACACUGGGACUGAGACACGGCCCAGACUCCUACGGGAGGCAGCAGUAGGGAAUCUUGCGCAAUGGGCGAAAGCCUGACGCAGCGACGCCGCGUGAGGGAAGAAGGCCUUCGGGUUGUAAACCUCUUUCAGGAGGGACGAAGCCACUCGGGUUAAAGCCCAGAGGGUGACGGGCCUCCAGAAAAGCCCCGGC